rnacentral:rRNA from 1 species
UACGUAGGGUGCAAGCGUUAAUCGGAAUUACUGGGCGUAAAGCGUGCGCAGGCGGUUAUGCAAGACAGAUGUGAAAUCCCCGGGCUCAACCUGGGAAUUGCAUUGGAUACUGGCAGGCUAGAGUGCGGUAGAGGGUAGUGGAAUUCCCGGUGUAGCAGUGAAAUGCGUAGAGAUCGGGAGGAACAUCUGUGGCGAAGGCGACUACCUGGACCAGCACUGACACUGAGGCACGAAAGCGUGGGGAGCAAACAGG